GGGACUGAGAUACGGCCCCAACUCCUACGGGAGGCAGCAGCAAGGGAUAUUGGGCAAUGGGCGAAAGCCUGACCCAGCGACACCGCGUGAGGGAGGAAGGCCUUCGGGUUGUAAACCUCUUUUCUCAAGGAAGAAUUUUGACGGUACUUGAGGAAUAAGCCUCGGCUAACUACGUGCCAGCAGCCGCGGUAAGACGUAGGAGGCGAACGUUAUCCGGAUUUAUUGGGCGUAAAGAGAGCGUAGGCGGCUCUUUAAGUCAAGUGUGAAAUCUUAUGACUCAAUCAGAAGAAGCCGCUUGAUACUGGAGGGCUUGAGGGAAGCAGAAGGAAAUGGAAUUCCCAGUGUAGCGGUGAAAUGCGUUGAUAUUGGGAAGAACACCAGUGGCGAAGGCGAUUUCCUAGGCUUUUCCUGACGCUGAGGCUCGAAAGCGUGGGGAGCGAAGCGGAUUAGAUACCCGCGUAGUCCACGCCUUAAACGGUGGACAUUAGGUAUGGGGAGUAUCGACCCUCUCCGUGUCGAAGCUAACGCUUUAAAUGUCCCGCCUGGGGAGUACAGCCGCAAGGCUAAAACUCAAAGGAAUUGACGGGGGCCCGCACAAGCAGCGGAGCGUGUGGUUUAAUUCGAUGAUACACGAAGAACCUUACCAGGGCUUGAUAUGCCAGGAGUAGGAUUCCGAAAGGAGGACGACCUGUAUCCAGUCAGGAGCUGGCACAGGUGCUGCAUGGCUGUCGUCAGCUCGUGCCGUGAGGUGUUGGGUUAAGUCCCGCAACGAGCGUAACCCUUGUCCUAUGUUAAAUUCUCAUAGGAGACUGCCUUGUACAGCAAGGAGGAAGGUGAGGAUGACGUCAAGUCAGCAUGGCCCUUAUGUCCUGGGCUACACACACGCUACAAUGGGUGAUACAAAGGGUUGCUAAGGAGUGAUCCGGAGCUAAUCCCAAAAAAUCACCCUUAGUUCGGAUUGCAGGCUGAAAUCGCCUGCAUGAAGUUGGAGUUGCUAGUAACUGCAGGUCAGCUAUACUGCGGUGAAUACGUUCUCGGGCCUUGUACACACCGCCCGUCACGCCAUGGGAGUCGGAAACGCCUGAAGUCGAUGAGCUAACUUGCUUUUGGCAAGAAGCAGUUGCCGAGGGUGGAGCUGAUAACUGUGACGAAGUCGUAACAAGGCAGCCGUACGGGAACGUGCGGCUGAAUCACCUCCUUU
rnacentral:rRNA from 1 species